UACGGAGGGUGCAAGCGUUAUCCGGAUUCACUGGGUUUAAAGGGUGUGUAGGUGGGUUGGUAAGUCAGUGGUGAAAUCUCCGGGCUUAACCCGGAAACUGCCAUUGAUACUAUCAGUCUUGAAUACCAUGGAGGUUAGCGGAAUAUGUCAUGUAGCGGUGAAAUGCUUAGAUAUGACAUAGAACACCAAUUGCGAAGGCAGCUGGCUACACUAAUAUUGACACUGAUGCACGAAAGCGUGGGGAUCAAACAGG
rnacentral:rRNA from 1 species